GCAAGCGUUGUCCGGAUUUAUUGGGUUUAAAGGGUGCGUAGGCGGUCCUAUAAGUCAGUGCGGAAAUAUCCCGGCUUAACCGGGAGGGUGGCAUUGAUACUGUGGGACUUGAGUAAAGUUGAGGUUGGCGGAAUUGACGGUGUAGCGGUGAAAUGCUUAGAUAUCGUCAAGAACACCUAUUGCGAAGGCAGCUAACUAAGCUUUAACUGACGCUGAGGCACGAAAGUGUGGGGAUCAAACAGG
rnacentral:rRNA from 1 species